AUAUUUUUCCUAACUUGGCCAUAACUCUCCGUCGUGUGGUUACAUUAUGACAAUGUUUUGUGGCCGAUUGAUUGUUGUAGCCGCGGAAAUUGUUGUUAGACGAGAGUCGUAUCGCCGAAAAAGGCGUAAUACUUCCAAACGGCGAUGUUGUCUGUACACCUGCGUUAUCUAUGAAGUUCCAUGAUUCGAAAAUGAGAAGUUGCACUUUUCCUGUCAGCUUCACGGUGGUGAUCACUGAUUAACAGCAUAUACCAUUACUGCCUUUUUUUGACAGCAACCCGCGUUCACCCACUGUGAUACACCCCCGCCUUAACACGAAAGAGUCCAUUUUAGACAACGAGACGGCCGUUACGAGACAGGACCAGAUUGAAGCAGAGCGCCAACAGUAUAAGGUUGGUUCAGCGCAGCGUUGCUGGCGCUGCGCUGGGAGGCGAUAACACCGUAAACACAUCGAGUUUUGUUGAACCCGUCAGCGGCGCUCUAACUGGAUCUUGCCUGCUCUUUCGACCUGCUUUACAGGUAUAUUAUUAACCUAUAGAAAGCGGCCUACCGUCCGCUGCUGUGGCGUUCUUUUCACACACCCUGCACUUCCUUCCCGUUACCUAGGCUGAUACCACAGAGGCCUUUUCAGGGUGCUACAGUAAUGGCUACCUCGCUUUGCUAUCCGGAGGUUGUAGCCGGUUGGUGAGCACAAAGAGAGCUACUAAAUGAGAAUAUCAGCAUUCGGUAGAAGUACGACGUUAUGGAAAAUAGCUGAGACGGGUCGGGUCCCAAGGAAGAAGUCAUUGAGGGUGGCAAAGAUCUAAAACGCACCAGUAAGAGGGUAGGCCGUAAUGAGGUAUUCACUGCAACGGUUGGGCAGAACAUCGGUUCGACCCAGCAGGCCGCGAAGCAGAGCAGCAGAUGCGCCUGCACGAAAGGGACACCAAAUCCGAACUGGUGGUUUUCUGAGUGGGAGUUUUCAUGGAGUAGCAUUCGCGCCUUGGCUUCGGUUCAGUUUCAAAAGUAGUUAACUGGCAAUAGCAGUGGUGGUGAUUCGGUCAAACGCUCGUGCCUGCACCGAAGGAACCGAGAAUAGGGUGGGAUGCCAGAAAAAAGGGAGCAAUCCAUUAUUUCCAAUUGGGGGCUGUAUAUAUGAUAUAUCAGAAUAAAUUAGCGAUGCGGCAAUAAUUCAGAGUGUGAAAAUGAUGAUAAUAAGAAUAAUAGUAUGUGAGAAGUGUCCAAAGGUUGCUUAUCUGAUAAUAAGAGAGGGAAUAAAUGAAUUGAGCAGGCAAGUUUUGCGAUAGGUUCAACGAGCGACCGCAAAAACCUGCAGCGAUCAGGCUCACGUAACAGUUAUUGAUGUCCACAAACGAACGAACUAUCGGUUUUCUUUAGAUUUUCACAAAUGGGCACAUUAGCAAGUUUCUAGACGCAAGUAGUAAAUUUAUGUGGGUGUGGGUGUGUGCGUAUGUGUGUCAGUG